UGGGGAAUAUUGCACAAUGGAGGGAACUCUGAUGCAGCGACGCCGCGUGAGUGAUGAAGGAAUUCGUUUCGUAAAACUCUGUUCUAUGGGAAGAAAAGGACUGUACCAUAGGAGAAAGCUCCGGCUAAAUACGUGCCAGCAGCCGCGGUAAUACGUAUGGAGCGAGCGUUGUCCGGAAUUAUUGGGCGUAAAGGGUGCGCAGGCGGCUUUACAAGUUGGAUGUGAAAUAUUGUGGCUCAACCACAAACGUGCAUCCAAAACUGCAAAGCUUGAGUUAAGGAGAGGUAAGUGGAAUUCCUGGUGUAGAGGUGGAAUGCGUAGAUAUCAGGAGGAAUACCGGUGGCGAAGGCGACUUACUGGACUUAAACUGACGCUCAGGCACGAAAGCGUGGGGAGCGAACAGG
rnacentral:rRNA from 1 species